CCUACGGGAGGCAGCAGUGGGGAAUAUUGGGCAAUGGGCGCAAGCCUGACCCAGCAACGCCGCGUGAAGGAAGAAGGCUUUCGGGUUGUAAACUUCUUUUCUGAGGGACGAAGAAAGUGACGGUACCUCAGGAAUAAGCCACGGCUAACUACGUGCCAGCAGCCGCGGUAAUACGUAGGUGGCAAGCGUUAUCCGGAUUUAUUGGGUGUAAAGGGCGUGUAGGCGGGAAAGCAAGUCAGAUGUUAAAACUCAGGGCUCAACCCUGGGCCGGCAGUUGAAACUGUUUUUCGUGAGUGCUGGAGAGGUAAGCGGAAUGCGGGGUGUAGCGGUGAAAUGCGU
rnacentral:rRNA from 1 species